UACAGAGGGGGCAAGCGUUAUUCGGAAUUAUUGGCGUAAAGGGCGCGUAGGCGGCUUUGCAAGUGACGGGUGAAAUCCCUCGGCUUAACCGAGGAACUGCCUGUCAAACUGCAUGGCUUGAGACCGGGAGAGGUGAGUGGAAUUCCCAGUGUAGCGGUGAAAUGCGUAGAUAUUGGGAGGAACACCAGUGGCGAAGGCGGCUCACUGGACCGGUACUGACGCUGAGGCGCGAAAGCGUGGGGAGCAAACAGGG
rnacentral:rRNA from 1 species